rnacentral:lncRNA from 10 species
CGUAUUUUAUUUUUAUUUUCAGUAUUGUAUGCAGUUUACUUAAAAAAGAUUUGUGAAAAAAAGAGAUAGCACUUUUAGCUAUUGCUAAAUGAGAUCAGGAAAUUGUCUUCCAAAUAGGCAAGCACAAAGCUGAAAAAAAAUGAACAAAAUCAUCCAUUUCCAUACUGUAGAAAUUGAGCAAAGGCUUAACACAAAUUUGAGAGGCACGGAUGCUUAAAAACUGUCGAACUUCUGGGAAAAACGUGGGAACUAUGUCACUCUGGCCUGGGCUGCCCACCUUGUCCAGGGUGGGACGAACUGUAGAGGGUUUUCUGCUGCUGGAAGGGCCUCUGUGGCUUUGGGGAGACGGCAGCGCCAGGGCCCGCGGGGCGGCAGGAGGGACUGGGAGGCCCACAGCGGUCCCGUGGGAAAGCUCUGUAGGGACGGGCAGGAGUGAACAUGUUGUGUUUUGUGGGCUACAAACAGGCUCUAUUUCCUCUCUGCCUCCUCCUCCUGCUUUUUCUUCCACUUUUUUUUAACAUUUGUUUUUAAAUGGAAAGUAGUUUUUAGCUCACAGGUCAUACAAAAGCUGGCAAACGGCUGGCUUCGAACCGUCCUGGCUUCGAACCGUGGCUGCCAUGUGCCUCCCGCUGCUCUACUCGCCUGAGGUUGACCCUGGUAAGCGGUUGCCGCCUGCAGACACGGCGCAUGCGAGGGAGGGUGCAGGCCGAGACUCCGCCCCGAAGGGCGCGGCGUGCCCGAGAGAUGCGAGCGUUGAGGAAACGGAAAUCCAGCGCACACGUGAAAACGCCCCGGACUGCGGCUGCGCCGCUUACCCGCACACAGACGGUUGGCAGAGGAAGAAAGCCUUGUCACACUAAAGGAGAGACAGCGGAUGUUCUGAACAGUCCUGUCGUGAAACGUUAGACAACGUGGACGAAACAGGCACAUUCCUAAGCAUCACACAUUACUGAAACUCAGUCAAGAAGAAAUAGAAAAUCUGAAUACAUCCAUGGCAAGCACAGAAACUGAACUAGGGGAUUCGAAAUCUUCCCACAAAGAAAAGCCUAGGCCCAACUGGCCUCUAUGCAUCCCACUUGAUGAAAAUUCCUGUUAUAAUAAAUUAGCCCCUUGAGGUUCCUGGAAAAGCAUGAAGACUUGAUAUCACCUCCUUCCUCCCACUCUCCAUGUAUACAAACACUCCAAUUGAUACUUUCUCUUAUAUUAUUAUUUAAACUAUUUUCUUUCUGACUCUGCGUUCUAUCUUCUGUCUUGACUUUAUUCACCCAAGAUGACCAAAAAGACAAAGAUUUGAGCUAUGAGGUAGGUGUAUGAUACAUAGGGGAAAAACACAUACAUAUAUAGGUUAUAUGAAUAUAUGUAUAUCUCCAUAUAUAUAUGUUAUAUACCCAUAAAAUAUGUACCAAAUUGCUCCUUCAAGCUAUAUAUUAGACCAUAAACACAAUUAAAGUAUAAAACAAAAUGAAAAUAUAAUAAAGGUUUUUAAUAUCAAUGACUGGUAUAAAGGCAUUCAUAAAUAGCAUUUUAAAGAAAAAUACAUUUAAAAUAAUUAAAAUAUAAAAUAAAAAAGU